rnacentral:rRNA from 1 species
GAUGAACGCUGGCGGCGUGCCUAAUACAUGCCAGUCGAGCGAACAGACGAGGAGCUUGCUCCUCUGACGUUAGCGGCGGACGGGUGAGUAACACGUGGAUAACCUACCUAUAAGACUGGGAUAACUUCGGGAAACCGGAGCUAAUACCGGAUAAUAUAUUGAACCGCAUGGUUCAAUAGUGAAAGACGGUUUUGCUGUCUCUUAUAGAUGGAUCCGCGCCGCAUUAGCUAGUUGGUAAGGUAACGGCUUACCAAGGCAACGAUGCGUAGCCGACCUGAGAGGGUGAUCGGCCACACUGGAACUGAGACACGGUCCAGACUCCUACGGGAGGCAGCAGUAGGGAAUAUUCCGCAAUGGGCGAAAGCCUGACGGAGCAACGCCGCGUGAGUGAUGAAGGUCUUCGGAUCGUAAAACUCUGUUAUUAGGGAAGAACAAAUGUGUAAGUAACUAUGCACGUCUUGACGGUACCUAAUCAGAAAGCCACGGCUAACUACGUG